rnacentral:lncRNA from 1 species
UGUGCAAGGUGACCUUACCUGAGAUGGGAAAGUCCGUGGCCAGAGCAAUCGACGGCUUGCGCAGUCGCUACAACAUCCCAGCUACAACAGCUUAGCAUACAGUUUCUGCUACGUCUCUCAGUUGGUAAUCACUCCUCCUCUUUCGAAAUUGACAUAUGAGUUGGCCAUGUUCAGUGAAUGUAUGAGUGUUUGUCCAUGAAAACAAACAGGUGUAGCAUCUACCAUGGAUAUUAAUUGUUGGUUACAGGUUACCAAAGUGUUGUAGUUCAUUGUAUAUGCAGUUCUAGUAGCAGUCAUAAUAUCAAGGACGUAUAAGAGAUCACUAGAGCCUAGAUGAUCAUAUGCUUUCGGAAGGUUUUACUUGCUUGGUUGAUUAGUACUUUUGCGUAGAACACACUCUGGGCUGUGUAUAAUGGGUAUUUUUCUAUACAAUGUUGGCUUGGAUAUUCCAGGAACUUAUUUCAGUUGGCAUUACAAGUAUCGAUCGUGGGUUUCAAACUGAUCCAGAGAUUUGUGCUCUAAAUGCAGAGGUUUUAGUAUGUAUUAGACAUAUAUGAAUUGGUCACACUUCCAAAAUCUGUUUCCAUGAGUGUGCUAGCUGUAAUUGUUUACGGUACUUCUUUCCAUCCGUGUGCCAGCUUAGCAUACGUCUCUGACUCUGAGUUGGUAAUCACUUCUCCUGUUUCAAAAUUGACAUAUGAGUUGGCCAUGUUCAGUAAAUUUCAUGAAAAUCAGAGGUGUAGUAUCUAUGUACCAGGAAUAGUAAUUAUGGUUGGUCAUGUUCAGAAGCUUUUACUUGCUUGGUUGAUUAUUACUUAAUGGGUAUUUCUAAUCCAGGUGAACAUCAACUAUGUCUUAGAUGUUGGCUUAGAUAUCCAGACACUUAUUUCAGUUGGAAUUAGAAGCAUCGGUCAUGGGUUUCAAACUAAUAUCCAGAAAUUCAUGGUCUAAAUGCACAGGUUUUAGUAUGUAUUAGACUUGUAUGAGUUCGCCAUACUCCCAAACUCUGCUCCUCUGCGUGUGCUAGCUGUACUUGUUUAUGGUACUCCUUUCCAUCUUAAAUUACUUGCAUAUAAUAAUUGCUGUAUUCCAAGAAAUUAUGUUAUGUGGCUGAACAGAUAAGCUAUCUACAUCACACAUACAGAUAGGAAAUCUUCCUCUCAUUCCAUUGUGUUUGCGUUUUUACAUUCUUUCUCCAGCAACUAGUAUCAGUCAUAACAUCAAGGACGGAGCAGAGAUCACUAGAGCCAGUCAUAAUAAUCUACCAGGGAUAGUAAUUGUUGGUUACAGGCUACCAAGGGUUGCAGUUCAUUGUAUAUGCAGUUCUAGUAGCAGUCAUGAUAUCAAGGACGGAUAAGAGACUAGUAGAGCCUUUCAGAAGCUUUUACUUGCUUGGUUGAUUAGUGUUCUUGUAUAGAACAGUUCAUUGUAUAAUGUCGUAGAUGCUGGCUUGGAUAUUCCAGACACUUGUUUCAGUUCGAAUUAGAAGCAUCAUGGCAUGGGUUUCAAACAAGUGUCCAUAAACUGGGGGUCUAAAUGCACACGUUUGAGCAUGUAUUGGACUUGUAUGAGUUGGUUAUACUUCCAAAAUCUGUUCCUCUGCAUGUGCUAGCUGUACUUGUUUAUGGUACUUCUUUUUAUCUUAAAUUACUUUGGUGUAAUUACAUGAUAAUUUCUG